GCACCCACAAAUAUUUUAUUAUAUAAANUUUGUAUUGUUGUUUUCUUUUUACCUUUUUUUUCAGGUCCGAUUUCGCAUAAUCUUCUUCAAUAUCUUUUUGUUGGUUUGAUAGAAUGGAUCCAAGAUUCCCUUGGCUUGUGGUUUUUCUCUUCUUGAUUUCGAUUCUUUAUUUUUUUUUAUUCGAUGGUAUCAAAAAUCUUCCCUUUUGCUUUUCAUUAAUCUUUUGAUUUUGAUUAUCAUUUUUAUUCAAAAUUAAAAGUAGUAAUUUGCUUGGUAUAAACCAAGAUUUCGUUUUAUAUGUAUUAUAAAGUAACAAAAUUUCUAGGAAAAACCAAAGUUCCAGAUUCAAUAUGGGACGCUUUAGUAUUUUUUUCAUUCAUCCCCAUCCAAUCAAAAAGACUUUUGAGGAGUUUGGUAACUUCAUUUCUGGAAUCAUAAGAUAAAAAAAUAUUUUUUUGAUCAAUUAUUUGAUAAUUAUUAGUAACAAUCUGUGUGUGUGUGUGUGUGAAUUUAAUAGCUUGUUGAUUCAUUAAUAAGU
rnacentral:lncRNA from 1 species